AUCACUGGUGUUCGGGUUGUCAUGCCAAUGGCAUUGCCCGGUAGCUAAAUGCGGAAAAGAUAAGCGCUGAAAGCAUCUAAGCGCGAAACUUGCCUCAAGAUGAGUCUUCCCUGGGGCUUCAAGCCCCUGAAGGAACGUUAAAGACUAUGACGUUGAUAGGCUGGGUGUGUAAGUGCAGCGAUGCAUUGAGCUAACCAGUACUAAUGAUCCGUGAGGCUUAACCUUACAACACCGAAGGUGUUUUAG
rnacentral:rRNA from 1 species